rnacentral:rRNA from 1 species
CGUGCGUAGGCGGCUCGUUAAGUCAGAUGUGAAAGCCCCGGGCUUAACCUGGGAACGGCAUUUGAUACUGGGUAUCUAGAGUAUGGUAGAGGGGAGUGGAAUUUCAGGUGUAGCGGUGAAAUGCGUAGAGAUCUGAAGGAACACCAGUGGCGAAGGCGGCUCCCUGGACUAAAACUGACGCUGAGGUACGAAAGCGUGGGUAGCAAACAGGAUUAGAUACCCUGGUAGUCCACGCCGUAAACGAUGUCAACUAACUGUUGGGUUCUUAAAGAACUUAGUAGUGGAGCUAACGUAUUAAGUUGACCGCCUGGGGAGUACGGCCGCAAGGCUAAAACUCAAAUGAAUUGACGGGGGCCCGCACAAGCGGUGGAGCAUGUGGUUUAAUUCGAUGCAACGCGAAGAACCUUACCUACCCUUGACAUCCAGAGAAUCUGUUAGAGAUAGCGGAGUGCCUUCGGGAGCUCUGAGACAGGUGCUGCAUGGCUGUCGUCAGCUCGUGUUGUGAAAUGUUGGGUUAAGUCCCGUAACGAGCGCAACCCUUAUCCUUAGUUGCCAGCGAGUCAUGUCGGGAACUCUAGGGAGACUGCCGGUGAUAAACCGGAGGAAGGUGGGGACGACGUCAAGUCAUCAUGGCCCUUAUGGGUAGGGCUACACACGUGCUACAAUGGCCGGUACAGAGGGCUGCGAACUCGCGAGAGUAAGCGAAUCCCAAAAAGCCGGUCCCAGUCCGGAUCGCAGUCUGCAACUCGACUGCGUGAAGUCGGAAUCGCUA